CUGCGGAGAGAAAACGAGGGGAGAGAGUAGAGGCUGCCAUUUGGCAGCUUGAGCCUUGACUGACGGGAAUGGGAAGAGACACGGGCUGCCACGGGGCAGCGUGCGGAGAAGAAAAGAAGGGAAGCAAGUCAGGGACUUGCCAGGCAGAAACGAGAAAGGAAAGAAGCUCAGAGGGGAAGCUGCAGGAAAGGAGAGGGCGCCAGCGAGGCGCAGUUCACACGGGCACGAACGCAACAGAUCACCUUCUUUCGGUUUAAUCUUUCC
rnacentral:lncRNA from 1 species